AUGCUGGAGGUAUCAGAAGUGCGAAUGCUGACAUAAGUAACGAUAAAGCGGGUGAAAAGCCCGCUCGCCGGAAGACCAAGGGUUCCUGUCCAACGUUAAUCGGGGCAGGGUGAGUCGACCCCUAAGGCGAGGCCGAAAGGCGUAGUCGAUGGGAAACAGGUUAAUAUUCCUGUACUUGGUGUUACUGCGAAGGGGGGACGGAGAAGGCUAUGUUGGCCGGGCGACGGUUGUCCCGGUUUAAGCGUGUAGGCUGGUUUUCCAGGCAAAUCCGGAAAAUCAAGGCUGAGGCGUGAUGACGAGGCACUACGGUGCUGAAGCAACAAAUGCCCUGCUUCCAGGAAAAGCCUCUAAGCAUCAGGUAACAUCAAAUCGUACCCCAAACCGACACAGGUGGUCAGGUAGAGAAUACCAAGGCGCUUGAGAGAACUCGGGUGAAGGAACUAGGCAAAAUGGUGCCGUAACUUCGGGAGAAGGCACGCUGAUAUGUAGGUGAAGUCCCUCGCGGAUGGAGCUGAAAUCAGUCGAAGAUACCAGCUGGCUGCAACUGUUUAUUAAAAACACAGCACUGUGCAAACACGAAAGUGGACGUAUACGGUGUGACGCCUGCCCGGUGCCGGAAGGUUAAUUGAUGGGGUUAGCGCAAGCGAAGCUCUUGAUCGAAGCCCCGGUAAACGGCGGCCGUAACUAUAACGGUCCUAAGGUAGCGAAAUUCCUUGUCGGGUAAGUUCCGACCUGCACGAAUGGCGUAAUGAUGGCCAGGCUGUCUCCACCCGAGACUCAGUGAAAUUGAACUCGCUGUGAAGAUGCAGUGUACCCGCGGCAAGACGGAAAGACCCCGUGAACCUUUACUAUAGCUUGACACUGAACAUUGAGCCUUGAUGUGUAGGAUAGGUGGGAGGCUUUGAAGUGUGGACGCCAGUCUGCAUGGAGCCGACCUUGAAAUACCACCCUUUAAUGUUUGAUGUUCUAACGUUGACCCGUGAUCCGGGUUGCGGACAGUGUCUGGUGGGUAGUUUGACUGGGGCGGUCUCCUCCUAAAGAGUAACGGAGGAGCACGAAGGUUGGCUAAUCCUGGUCGGACAUCAGGAGGUUAGUGCAAUGGCAUAAGCCAGCUUGACUGCGAGCGUGACGGCGCGAGCAGGUGCGAAAGCAGGUCAUAGUGAUCCGGUGGUUCUGAAUGGAAGGGCCAUCGCUCAACGGAUAAAAGGUACUCCGGGGAUAACAGGCUGAUACCGCCCAAGAGUUCAUAUCGACGGCGGUGUUUGGCACCUCGAUGUCGGCUCAUCACAUCCUGGGGCUGAAGUAGGUCCCAAGGGUAUGGCUGUUCGCCAUUUAAAGUGGUACGCGAGCUGGGUUUAGAACGUCGUGAGACAGUUCGGUCCCUAUCUGCCGUGGGCGCUGGAGAACUGAGGGGGGCUGCUCCUAGUACGAGAGGACCGGAGUGGACGCAUCACUGGUGUUCGGGUUGUCAUGCCAAUGGCACUGCCCGGUAGCUAAAUGCGGAAGAGAUAAGUGCUGAAAGCAUCUAAGCACGAAACUUGCCCCGAGAUGAGUUCUCCCUGAC
rnacentral:rRNA from 1 species